rnacentral:rRNA from 1 species
CAGUCGUACAGGUAACCAUUCGGGUACACGAGCGGCGAACGGGUGAGUAACAUGUAGAGCAACCUGCCCCUGACUCUGGGAUAAGCGGUGGAAACGCCGUCUAAUACCGGAUACGACCCACCACCUCAUGGUGGAGGGUGGAAAGUUUUAUCGGUCAGGGAUGGGCUCGCGGCCUAUCAGCUUGUUGGUGGGGUAACGGCCUACCAAGGCGAUUACGGGUAGCCGGCCUGAGAGGGCGACCGGCCACACUGGGACUGAGACACGGCCCAGACUCCUGCGGGAGGCAGCAGUGGGGAAUAUUGCACAAUGGGCGAAAGCCUGAUGCAGCGACGCCGCGUGGGGGAUGACGGCCUUCGGGUUGUAAACCUCUUUUACCACCAACGCAGGCUCCACGUUCUCGUGGGGUUGACGGUAGGUGGGGAAUAAGGACCGGCUAACUACGUGCCAGCAGCCGCGGUAAUACGUAGGGUCCGAGCGUUGUCCGGAAUUAUUGGGCGUAAAGAGCUCGUAGGCGGCAUGUCGCGUCUGCUGUGAAAGACCGGAGCCUUAACUCCUGGUUCUGCAGUGGAUACGGGCAUGCUAGAGUGUAGGUAGGGGAGGACUGGAAUUCCUGGUGCAGCGGUGAAAUGCGCAGAUAUCAGGAGGAACACCGGUGGCGAAGGCGGAUCUCUGGGUCCUUACCCUGACGCUGAGGAGCGAAAGCAUGGGGAGCGAACAGGAUUAGAUUACCCUGGUAGUCCAUGCCGUAAACGUUGGGGCCCUAGGUGUGGGGACUUUCCACGGUUUCCGCGCCGAAUCUUAACCCAUUAAGCGCCCCGCCUGUGGAGUACGGCCCCAAGGCUAAAACUCAAAGGAAUUGACGGGGGCCCGCACAAGCGGCGGAGCAUGUUGCUUAAUUCGACGCAACGCGAAGAACCUUACCAAGGUUUGACAUCACCCGAGGACCUGUAGAGAUACAGGGUCAUUUAGUU